rnacentral:rRNA from 1 species
GAUGAACGCUAGCGGCAGGCUUAAUACAUGCAAGUCGAGGGGCAGCAGCUUGGUAGCAAUACCGAGGCUGGCGACCGGCAAACGGGUGCGGAACACGUACAGAACCUUCCUUUAAGCGGGGAAUAGCCCACCGAAAGGUGGAUUAAUACCCCAUAGUAUACCGAAGAGGCAUCUCUUUGUUAUUAAAGAUUUAUCACUUAAAGAUGGCUGUGCGGCUGAUUAGAUAGUUGGCGGGGUAACGGCCCACCAAGUCUGCGAUCAGUAACUGGUGUGAGAGCACGACCAGUCACACGGGCACUGAGACACGGGCCCGACUCCUACGGGAGGCAGCAGUAAGGAAUAUUGGUCAAUGGACGCAAGUCUGAACCAGCCAUGCCGCGUGGAGGAUGAAGGUCCUCUGGAUUGUAAACUUCUUUUAUAUGGGACGAAAAAGGAUUUUUCUAAAUCAACUGACGGUACCAUAUGAAUAAGCACCGGCUAACUCCGUGCCAGCAGCCGCAGUAA